CAGGGUUAUCCCAUUAAUCUUCACUCUGAGAGAGGAGUCAUCCAACCUACCAGCUCACAGCUCAUUUCCUCCAGGUCCCAGCAGACAACCAGUCUUUCCAGGAGCUUCUUUCUCUGACUUCUCUUGGAGCAACACUGGCAUCAGGAAAACCAAUCUGCUAGAAGCUGGAGAAAAUGUUGACAGAAGAUUAAAUGGAUAUUAAGUCUCUAGAAAUAAAUGCAGAUGGCAAAUUAAAAACAAAGAAA